GCCCUGCUGGCCCAAUGGAUACGGCACCACCCUCCUAAAGCUGAGAUUCCGAGUUCGAUCCUCGGGUAGGGUA
rnacentral:tRNA from 1 species